CGGUGAAGCCCAGCUUGCUGGGUGGAUCAGUGGCGAACGGGUGAGUAACACGUGAGCAAUCUGCCCCUGACUCUGGGAUAAGCGCUGGAAACGGCGUCUAAUACUGGAUAUGAACCGUGGAGGCAUCUUCAACGGUUGGAAAGAUUUUUUGGUCAGGGAUGAGCUCGCGGCCUAUCAGCUUGUUGGUGAGGUAAUGGCUCACCAAGGCGUCGACGGGUAGCCGGCCUGAGAGGGUGACCGGCCACACUGGGACUGAGACACGGCCCAGACUCCUACGGGAGGCAGCAGUGGGGAAUAUUGCACAAUGGGCGCAAGCCUGAUGCAGCAACGCCGCGUGAGGGAUGACGGCCUUCGGGUUGUAAACCUCUUUUAGCAGGGAAGAAGCGAAAGUGACGGUACCUGCAGAAAAAGCGCCGGCUAACUACGUGCCAGCAGCCGCGGUAAUACGUAGGGCGCAAGCGUUAUCCUCCGGAAUUAUUGGGCGUAAAGAGCUCGUAGGCGGUUUGUCGCGUCUGCUGUGAAAUCCCGAGGCUCAACCUCGGGUCUGCAGUGGGUACGGGCAGACUAGAGUGCGGUAGGGGAGAUUGGAAUUCCUGGUGUAGCGGUGGAAUGCGCAGAUAUCAGGAGGAACACCGAUGGCGAAGGCAGAUCUCUGGGCCGUAACUGACGCUGAGGAGCGAAAGGGUGGGGAGCAAACAGGCUUAGAUACCCUGGUAGUCCACCCCGUAAACGUUGGGAACUAGUUGUGGGGUCCAUUCCACGGAUUCCGUGACGCAGCUAACGCAUUAAGUUCCCCGCCUGGGGAGUACGGCCGCAAGGCUAAAACUCAAAGGAAUUGACGGGGACCCGCACAAGCGGCGGAGCAUGCGGAUUAAUUCGAUGCAACGCGAAGAACCUUACCAAGGCUUGACAUAUACGAGAACGCUGCAGAAAUGUAGAACUCUUUGGACACUCGUAAACAGGUGGUGCAUGGUUGUCGUCAGCUCGUGUCGUGAGAUGUUGGGUUAAGUCCCGCAACGAGCGCAACCCUCGUUCUAUGUUGCCAGCACGUAAUGGUGGGAACUCAUGGGAUACUGCCGGGGUCAACUCGGAGGAAGGUGGGGAUGACGUCAAAUCAUCAUGCCCCUUAUGUCUUGGGCUUCACGCAUGCUACAAUGGCCGGUACAAAGGGCUGCAAUACCGUAAGGUGGAGCGAAUCCCAAAAAGCCGGUCCCAGUUCGGAUUGAGGUCUGCAACUCGACCUCAUGAAGUCGGAGUCGCUAGUAAUCGCAGAUCAGCAACGCUGCGGUGAAUACGUUCCCGGGUCUUGUACACACCGCCCGUCAAGUCAUGAAAGUCGGUAACACCUGAAGCCG
rnacentral:rRNA from 1 species